CUAAUACAAGUCUCUCUGUGUAUUCAUUUGAGCCUAACUCGGGCGGGCGGCUGGUGUAAAGCUCACACGUGGCUGUGGGGCUCAGGCGGCUUUUGGCAAAAAGAUUUAUCGUAACACUGUCAUUCUUCAAAGCUACAGUGACAAAGUGUGUUUGGAUGGCUUGGUGGUUAAGAACACUGACUGCUUUUCCCUUGGACUCUGGUUCAGUUCCCAGCACUCACAUGACAUCUAACAACUGUCUAUAACCCCAAGAUCUGACACCUUCACAGAUACAUGCAUGAAGGCAAAACACCAAUGUAAAUAACAUAAAAAUACACUAUUUUUAAAAAAAGAAAACAAGGUAAAAAUGUCUUCUAACAGCCAAAUUCUGAGGGAGGGGGACUGUUUUUUAAGUACUUUUCUAAAAUAAAUGCCAAAAGAGGUCUACAGGCCAAAGGAAAAAUAUCCCACAUGAAAGUGUGGGAACUGAGGGAAAAUGAUCAAUAAUAAAAAGGAUAAAACAUGGACAAAUUCAAGUUUUAUUGAAUAAAAUAAUACUGAUUUAUUGAAGCUUCACUAUAUAUCAUAGAAGGAGUUUAAAUCUGUGGCUCUAAGAGGGUCUGGAAAACCACACUAUCAUUUUAGGAUAGAUCUAACAUGACAAAGACACUACUUGGACAAGGACACAGUGGCGGCUGCACUUCUAUUCUUUCACUUUAAUUAGAUGUAUAUUGACUGGAAUUGAUAGGGCAGGCUGUUGGUUUGAGCUUUUAUCCUUCAGUGUAUACAACUGAGACUAUUAAUUUUUCUCUUGGCUCUAUCGUGAGUUUUAAUACAGCCUACCUUUGUCAUUAUUCAUUUCAAGACAUUUUAUAAUUUUCUGAUUUUUUUUUUUUUUUUGGUUUUUCAAGAUAGGGUUUCUCUGUGUAGCUCUGGAGCCUAUCCUAGCAUUCGCUCUGGAGACCAGGCUGGCCUCAAACUCACAGAGAUCUGCCUGCCUCUGCCUCCUGAGUGCUGGGAUUAAAGGUGUGCGCAACCAACACACGGCAAUUUUCAGAUUUUUAAAUAUAUUAUAUUUAGACUUUUUAUUUGUUCUGCACAGGAUUCUCACAACCUAAAACAGAGGGUGAUUUCACUUCUGCUAAAGAGAUGCAUAUUCAGGGUGUGAAUUUGUUUUCCCUGCCCUUUGCUUCUGAGUUCUUACAAAAUGUCUACUUCACCAGCACAGGACCUGCAUAUUAUCAUUUCAGAGAAGAAUGGACUGUUUUGUGGAUGGUCUAAGAGUAAACUCAUGACAGCAACAGUUUCUCAAGCCUUGGUGCUUGAAGUCCCCAGUAUUGCUAAAUGUCACAGCUGAAUCACCAGUUCAGUCUGUGAGGUUAGGAUUUCACCCAUAGUAAGGCAGUCUCCACAGGGAACCAAAAAAACUCAACUAUUGUAUUUUAUCUGAAAAAUCCAAGGGGAUCAUAACCAAUACAGUAACAACACCCCCAUUGCCAUCACUCCUCAUGACCUCCUCUGUGACUUUGUAAUCCUUCCUCAUCCCCACAGCACAAGAGAUCUAUAUUCCUACUUGAUCAGAGAAUUGAAACACAGACCUUUUCAACUCCAAACUAUACCCAGGGAUGGGGCCAGCAGGCAAAAAGGAGGGCUGCCAUCUUUGCAAGAAUAGUUACCCCUGAUCAUUAGACAGAGGUGUAAUUGUGUAGAAAUAACAUUGGGCAUCUCCAGGUACCUCUUGGUUGUGAAAAGCAAAGCAAGCAUGACUUGAAUAGAGCAGGAAGACAAAGAAAAAAAGACUCCUGAGUAAAUUUCAGUUGGGGUGUGCUGGGCUUUGGAGAGAUCUGGAAUUAUGUGGUAGAGGAAGGCAGGACUAUCUGGUUCAUGCUGGCACUAUCUGCAUGGAUAGGGUAUUGGCUCUACUGAGUUCUGAGUUCCUCCAGGAAGACAGAUCCAUCACAGCUCCAGAGUAGCUGUUGCUUGAAUGCAUGAAGAAGAGGGUUUGAGCAGCAUAAAAGGUCAUCUGUGACAGCCACACUGCAACUGCUGGAUGCUACACACCUAGACACCAGGUUCCAAAGAAAGUCCUAUCACUCUAGCUUCCAAGGGUUCUGUGAGCAACAUCUGCAAAGAGCCUCCUCCCAGAAGAAUACACCUUUCUGGGGUGAGCCACAUCCUACAGCUGCAAGCAUUAAAAAGUUUCAACCAGUUCAACCCACCAAGGGACUCUCUGAUAGACCAUAUUUGCUUAGACUACCUCAGUGGAUUGCCCAAGGCAUACUUGUUCUGCAAUUAUCUUUCUUCCUUUGCCUGACUCUGCUUCCAUCCCUCCCUUCCAUAGGCAGUGGUUCCUUGGGAGUCACCAAAGCUUGCCUGGUCACCAAAGUAACUCUCAUCUGCUCCUGAGGGAUUAGCCUGUGAAGAUCAUUAAAAACCACCAGAGGGGGGAAAAACAACAAACAAGCAAAAAACACCAAAGCCUCUGCAACAAAUCUAACAAUAGAUAUAGUGCUUCACAACAAAUAAAUGCAAAAGCUUAAUGAAAGAAGCAGAAGAAUAAUUUCUGUUUCGUGGAUUGAAAAUACAUUGUGUUUGUAUGUCCACUUCCCUCCGAGUUAAUCUCUAAAUAUAUUGCAGUUAUAAAGCUGAUUGUGACAUUUAUGUAGAAAAUCAAAAGUACAAAAGCAUCCUGUACCUGGAGCAUAAGUUAUAGGAAAACAUAAGCUAUAAAGUCAAGAAACCAAGAGAAUAUAGUGGAAAUGGAGACACACACUGAAGUCAAACAGCACAGAGCUCAGAACACAUGCGUGGACAGCUGAUGCAUGACAAGGUGGUCAUGAAGAGCAGGAGCAGAAGGAAUGAUCAUCUGGACAUGCUUGGAAUCAGCUGUUUCCAUACAGAAAAGGGGGGCAAUUUAAUAGUGAUCUCAUCACACACCCAAAAUACUAUUCUAGGUGGACUACAGAGUGAAGUGUACAGAUUAGAGAGAAAAUGUUCCAGUAGGUAAUCUAGAAUCUGUCCAUAAAUUUGGAACAGGCAGAUGGGGCCUGGGUUGUGUAAGAAAGGGAGUGGAACUGAACCUGAGUCUGGGACCAAGCCAGCACUUAAGUAUUCCUCUGUGGUCCCUGCUUCACUCUCCUGCUUUGAAGUCCCUCAGCGAUGAAUGACAACAUACAAACUAAAAUAUCUCUUUCCUCCCCGAAUUAUUUUUGGUCAUGGAGUUUAUCAUAGCAACAUAAAGCAAACUAGUACAGGCAGUGACAUAUCACAGCUGCACACAUACACAUACACACCCCACUACCACCAGCAACAACAACAACAGACACAUGGAGCCUAAGAAUCAUAAACCCAUUUAUAGCAGAACAGACCAAAGAUGUUAUUCAUAUGAUUGAAUACUCUCUAUGAUGGAGAAUGGCAACUAAUGGCACUUAGAAUUAAAUCAUGUAUCCUAGAUACUUAACUUUAGAUAAAAUGACAGCUGAAGUGCCCACUGUAUGGUUCCAUUUAUAUGCAUUUUGAAAUUCUAUGUAAAGAGAAGAUAGGAGCAGAGAAACUGUGGCCCUGGGGAGUACAAGAUGAGGCCUUGGGAUACUGACAAAUGCUUUACUUCUUGACACAUGUAGAGGAGUAUGAGGAUGUUUGUUCCAUGAUCAUCUAUUGAACUGUGUGUCUAUCAUCUGUGUAUUUACCUUAAAAGUAAUCCUGGACCUAUGGAGCUGAAGAGUUGGCUCAGCAGUUUAGAGCACUGGCUGCUGCAGAGAACCUGGAUUCGGUUCCCAGUACCCACAUGGCAGCUCACAGCCAUCUGAGACUCCAGUUCAGUGCUUUGAAUGCUCUCUCUGUUCUGCCCCCUGUGGGCACCUGCAUGCACACAGUGCACAUGCAUACAGUCGGGCAUGCAAGCAGUCUGUCAUGCAUACAUAUAAAAGUUUAAUACAAUUAUAAAAAUUAAACUAAUCUAUGGGCCCAGUAUAAGGAAAAUGUACUGUUUGCCUCCUGAAUUAAUGUGUGGACUUCGCUUGCUGUGCAUCACAAUGGGAGACUUGAGCCCAGGGAUUCAAUGUAGAUCCCACACACCCUAAGACAAAUAGUCCUUUGGCAUUUCCACAGUUGCUCACAUGCCUCUCUCACAUCAUGGAGAUUUCCUGACUCUCGGAGGUGACAGACCCAAACACAAACUUUUAUUUCUAAGAUAGCAUCCUGUACAGCACCUUGUUUUUACUUUGGCUACUAAACUAAAAUAGUCACUGGCUUCCUCGGUUUUAAGCAAAGAGGUUUUCAGUUCUACGUUUAUGAGUUUCUCAUUUUUUAAGUGGAGCAGCUUGGCCAACACCACAAACCUAAAUAUUUUUGCUAGUACAAGUACCAUCCGCUGCAGACGAGUUCUUUACAGGAGGAAACCUGGCUUCUCCCUGCUUGGGUCUGGCCAAAUAGACAUCCCGCCAGGCUUACCAUGAAAGAUCAGCUUUCCGACAACAGCAUGAGGAAUAUUUCCCAUCCAGGGCUGAAUGACUCCUGACAGGAGGUUGCAGGUUUGGCAAGACACCACAAGGACCAGGCCAAGCCAAACAUGGAGUGGAAAACUCUGUUCAGCACUGUACCAUAGACGGUUCCUUCCCUGGGGCUGGCUCACAUGUGUGACUGUCUCUGGUUAGUAACAAGACACCAGCACAUGGUGUACAGAGGAUGUACCUCAGCCAGCCUCCUGUAACCACACAAGCUGUGCUGCUGAAGUUACCAGCAAGUGCCCUAAACUACUUGACACUGCAUUCCAGAAUCCCACAGUUCAGCCAAGGUCCUCCCAUGACUCCCUCCCGGCUUCAAUUUCUAUUUGCCAGCCUACUGUUGCAGUGUUUCAUGAUGUCACCCAAACUCAGGAGGAAAGUUCUCUGAUGGUUGCUGAGCAAGACACUGAUCUACAGGAAAUGGGGGCUGCAGGAAGGAGAUGUACUCCCAAGGACCUGCCUCCAGUGACCUACUUCCUGAAGGUAUGCCCUGCUUCCUGAAGCUUCCACAACUCCCAAGAAAGAACCACCAUCUGUGAACCAAGCAUAAGCCGUUGGGGACAUCCCAGUCUCAACCUUAGCACAUACUGAGGCAUGAUGGUAACAGGACUUUGGGAACUGGAUUCCCAGGACCACACUUCACCCAUGUGUCUCCACUGGAUUUCUGCUGACAGCUAAACACUAGACAGCAAUACUGUUUUCUUCUCCACCAAAUGGGAUCAGCUCCACACAUUCUCUUUCCUCAAUUUUUUCCCAAGUUAGGAAAGAGAAUAGUCACAAAUUCACUGAGAGAUAUGUGGCAAUAAUCAUAUUACAAUGAAUGAGGAAAGAAGGCAGUGUGGAAACACCGUAUUUGGGGUCUUCCAUUUCAAUGGGAAGAGAAUUUCCCCUGUCACUGUGUGAAAAAUGCACGGGAAACCAACACAACAUCCUUUUCACUUUGCAUCUGAAAUAACUUUCCAGUCACUUGACUGUACCACACAGGUGUGAGCUAUUCAAUCCAAAAUAGGAACCAAGACCGAACAGUUAAUUGGAAAGUUAGGUAAUAUCCUGAGUGUUCCAUGCUUAUGUUGACAGCUGAGCAGUGUGGGGAAGAGUCGGGGAUAUGACUGGCUUCUCACUGGCUUCCCUGCUCUCUCUCUGCUUACCCCCUCUUAUCUUUAGCCAGUGAGGGCAAGAACAGGCAAGGAGAAUGGAUGGAAUGUUAAAAUAAUGAGUGCACAGUCCUAGGGUUAGCUUCAGACUCUCUAGGCCUCUGGCCUGUCAUAAAACAAAAAAUAAAAUAAAAUAAAAAACAACAACAACAAAAACCACCUCCCCCUCCCAUGGAUGUCGGUGGCCUCCUGCGUGUCCAUCUGACCACAGUUUCCUAACAGGCUGUGCUCCUCUUUCACUAGCUGCUUUACCCUGAUUGUUCCUCAGCAUGCAGUGUGGUCUUCUGGUUGUUAGAUCUGCAUGCCCUGCUGUUGGUAGUAUUGAAGUUAAAUCCACCUCUCACUCUGUCAGCUACUAAGCAAGGCAACCUCUAGGGGCAAACUGCUAUAUUAAUAUACCUUCAAAACAUCCUCUCCCCACCCCGCAACAAAAUUUUCUGAUGAGUUGACCAUGCUCAAAAGGCCCUUAUUCUCUACAUAUUCUUGAAGGUGUAUUCUGCCAUCCUGAGCUAAGCAUGCCAAAGGAUGUGUCCUUCAUUUUUCUUUAGUUAGGAUCUUGAGCUGAGUGGGUUCAGAAUGUACUAUUCAGCUGAGCAUGCUCAAGACUGUGACUUCUUGUGUGGUUACAUGUAGAGUGCCUUCCCAAAAACCUCCAUGCUUGUUUUGUUCAAGAAGGGCAUGGCUUUGGAAACAAUUAUCCUACCAUCCUUAGCUGCCACAGUAGUAAACGUCACAAACAUCUAUCAAGAGCAGUUUGUGUGCCAGGCUGUCUGUCUGUUUCCCUCCUUCCUUUGGAAGCAGUCUUGGAGGGUGAAGGUACUGGAAGGAUGGGUCUGGGCAACACAUCCUGCAAGUGACUUGGAGAAUGAGCCUCGGGAUCACUGGGAAAGAAGCCAUUCGUCCUCCCUGCUCAGUGCUCAGCAGUCAUCUCUCACUUGCAUCAUUCACCAAAGGCAAAGCAAACCCACUGUUUUAUUAACUUCUGAUCCUGUUGAGAAAACCAAGUGAUGCAGACCAAGCAGUUACAGAAAAAGGGAAAGACCACAUCUCUACGGGAAAAAAAAAUGCUUCUGUCAUUCAACUGGAUAUUGAUUUAUGCAAUUAUUCACUUGUUUUUUGGGGUGUUUUUUGUUUUUUUUUUGGUUUUUUUUUUUUUUUUUGGUUUUUUGAGACAGGGUUUCUCUGUGA